AACUAUAACGGUCCUAAGGUAGCGAAAUUCCUUGUCGGGUAAGUUCCGACCUGCACGAAUGGCAUAAUGAUGGCCAGGCUGUCUCCACCCGAGACUCAGUGAAAUUGAAAUCGCCGUGAAGAUGCGGUGUACCCGCGGCUAGACGGAAAGACCCCGUGAACCUUUACUAUAGCUUGACACUGAACAUUGAAUUUUGAUGUGUAGGAUAGGUGGGAGACUUAGAAGUAGGAACGCCA
rnacentral:rRNA from 1 species